rnacentral:rRNA from 1 species
GUAGGGCGGGACACGUGGUAUCCUGUCUGAAUAUGGGGGGACCAUCCUCCAAGGCUAAAUACUCCUGACUGACCGAUAGUGAACCAGUACCGUGAGGGAAAGGCGAAAAGAACCCCGGCGAGGGGAGUGAAAAAGAACCUGAAACCGUGUACGUACAAGCAGUAGGAGCCCACUUGUUGGGUGACUGCGUACCUUUUGUAUAAUGGGUCAGCGACUUAUAUUCUGUAGCAAGGUUAACCGUAUAGGGGAGCCGCAGGGAAACCGAGUCUUAACUGGGCGUUAAGUUGCAGGGUAUAGACCCGAAACCCGGUGAUCUAGCCAUGGGCAGGUUGAAGGUUGGGUAACACUAACUGGAGGACCGAACCGACUAAUGUUGAAAAAUUAGCGGAUGACUUGUGGCUGGGGGUGAAAGGCCAAUCAAACCGGGAGAUAGCUGGUUCUCCCCGAAAGCUAUUUAGGUAGCGCCUCGUGAACUCAUCUUCGGGGGUAGAGCACUGUUUCGGCUAGGGGGUCAUCCCGACUUACCAACCCGAUGCAAACUACGAAUACCGAAGAAUGUUAUCACGGGAGACACACGGCGGGUGCUAACGUCCGUCGUGAAGAGGGAAACAACCCAGACCGCCAGCUAAGGUCCCAAAGUCAUGGUUAAGUGGGAAACGAUGUGGGAAGGCCCAGACAGCCAGGAUGUUGGCUUAGAAGCAGCCAUCAUUUAAAGAAAGCGUAAUAGCUCACUGGUCGAGUCGGCCUGCGCGGAAGAUGUAACGGGGCUAAACCAUGCACCGAAGCUGCGGCAGCGACACUAUGUGUUGUUGGGUAGGGGAGCGUUCUGUAAGCCGUUGAAGGUGGCCUGUGAGGGUUGCUGGAGGUAUCAGAAGUGCGAAUGCUGACAUAAGUAACGAUAAUGCGGGUGAAAAACCCGCACGCCGGAAGACCAAGGGUUCCUGUCCAACGUUAAUCGGGGCAGGGUGAGUCGACCCCUAAGGCGAGGCCGAAAGGCGUAGUCGAUGGGAAACAGGUUAAUAUUCCUGUACUCGGUGUUACUGCGAAGGGGGGACGGAGAAGGCUAUGUUGGCCGGGCGACGGUUGUCCCGGUUUAAGCAUGUAGGCGGAUG